rnacentral:ncRNA from 1 species
ACGCAUGGGGAGCUGGUGUAAGGCCGGCUGAGAGUAGAACACGUUUGUUCUUGACCCAUAAACCUGAUUUGGAUAAUGCCAACGUAGGGAAUAAAAAUUAU